GUUGGUGAAAGCUCUGCAGUCAUAUUCCCCUGUUUUCACGUGCUCGGAGCAGCAGUGCAGAAAUGCUCGAGCAGAUGAUCAUAGCAAUGUCUGUUCUCCUGACCCUCUUCCAUGCCGAACUUACUGAAUCCUCCUCAAGCUGCUAUCAUGAGCAAGCCGAAAUAAAAAGAGUGGAUGAAAAUGCAACAGCAUUUGUGUCCUGUCCAGCACUUGCAGUGCAUAAAAAACCAUCUAUCACUCUAUACAAGGGAAAUACAAAGCUGCACUCAACAAACCUGAGUGAUGUGGACAGUAAUAAAACAUGGCAGCGUUUUCAGGUGUACAUACAAAACUCCUCAGUCUCAUAUAAGAUUUUAAGGACUGAAGCCAAUGACACAGGACUCUACAACUGCGUAAUCGACACGCACAUCAGGACAAAGGAUUCACUAACUAUGUUGCUCAUUAAAGACGGUCUGCUGCCCAUAGAAUCAACUGUAACUUGUCCCACUGAUCAGAUACUGCCACUUAUUGUUGGCUGUGUGGUCAUCAUUGUAUAUAAUCUGUUCGUCACUGUCUUUGGCUGUUACCUCAAAUAUAAACUCAAGAACACAGAGCCAGCUGAGAAUCCCUACAUAAACACAAGACCAAGAGGAUUCAGACGACGCUAAUGAGCUCAGCAUCCAGCAAAUAUCAGCAGCGUUGCAAUAUGUCAGUCUUCCACUGGCUGUUACAUUAGUACCUCCUAUCAGCUGAGCAGUACUGCCCAGAGAGUGUAUUAAACAGAUCUACUAAUUGUUCUUGUAUCUAUUGCUGUUGUAUAUUCUGUAUAUAUACAGUGUAUGUAUGUAUGUACACUGGGGGUCAAAGGUUUGGAAUAAUUAGGAAUUUUUAUGUUUUUGAAAGUGUCUUACGUUCAACAAGUCUGCAUUUAUUUGAUGAGUAAAAAUAAAGUAAAAUGGUAAUAUUGUGACAUAUUAUUAUGUUUUCCAUUCUAAUAUAUUUUAAAAUGUAAAAAAUAUAAUUCCAAAUAUGUUUAUUUGGUGCUGAAAGAAAACCAUUUUUUAUUGGUAAGUUAUUUGUUAUUUUUUAAAGAAAUUAAUAAUAAAGCAAGGAUGCAUUACAAAUCUUAGAUGUUUAAUUAUUCUAAUGUUAGAAAAAUAUUUUUAUUUCAAAUAAAUGCUGUUCUUUAGCACCUUCUAAUAAUCAAAGAACCCUGAAGAAAAUGUAUGACUGUUUUCAACUGCUGGAUACUUCAGCUGCUUUCAACACUGAUCAUAAGAAAAAGAUAUGUUUCUUAAGCAGCAAAUUGCCAUAUUAGAAUGAUUUUGAUCCCCAGUGGGUGUGUAUUUACACUGAAACACUAUGAUGCUCUGACUUUAAAUGAAACCUGCUCAUUGUUGCAAACAUCUUUGAUUCUGGCAUUUCUUCAGUGUGACUUGUGUGGGAUUUGAAAUGAUGAUUUAGAGAAAAAUACAGUCUAUUUAAUUUUACAGAGUCAAGCUAAUCCAGAUCAUUUUGCAUAAGACAAUGAAUGCAUGAUCUGUUAGGCUACAACAAUAUUACAGCUAUAGAAGAUCCCACCUCAGAUUUUCUGCAUCUGCAAUUACAGUGUUGUCUUUAUUAUGCUUUAUAUGCUACAUGAAAAUCUGCAGCCCACUGUAAACACUGUAAAUAUACUAUUAUAUCAGUUUAAU
ensembl:lncRNA